GACGGAGGGUGCUAGCGUUGUUCGGAAUUACUGGGCGUAAAGGGCGCGUAGGCGGCUGCUCAAGUCGGGUGUGAAAGCCCGGGGCUCAACCCCGGAACGGCACCCGAGACUGGGCGGCUCGAGACCGGGAGAGGUGGGUGGAAUACCCAGUGUAGAGGUGAAAUUCGUAGAUAUUGGGUGGAACGACCGGUGGCGAAAGCGGCUCACUGGCCCGGUUCUGACGCUGAGGCGCGAAAGCGUGGGGAGCAAACAGG
rnacentral:rRNA from 1 species